UUCCGGUUGAUCCUGCCGGACCUGACUGCUAUCGGAUUGAUACUAAGCCAUGCGAGUCUUUGUAGUAAUACAAGGCAGACGGCUCAGUAACACGUAGUCAAUCUACCCUAUGGACGGGGAUAACCUCGGGAAACUGAGAAUAAUACCCGACAGAUCAUUAUGCCUGGAAUGGUUUAUGGUUCAAAUGAUUUUUCGCCGUAGGAUGGGACUCGGUCUAUCAGCUUGUUGGUGAGGUAAUGGCCCACCAAGGCUAUUACAGAUACGGGCUCUGAGAGGAGAAGCCCGGAGAUGGGUACUGAGACACGGACCCAGGCCCUAUGGGGCGCAGCAGGCGAGAAAACUUUGCAAUGUGCGAAAGCACGACAAGGUUAAUCCGAGUGAUUCCUGCUAAAGGAAUCUUUUGUUAGUCAUAAUACCACUAACGAAUAAGGGGUGGGCAAGUUCUGGUGUCAGCCGCCGCGGUAAAACAGCACCUCAAGUGGUCAGGAUGAUUAUUGGGCCUAAAGCAUCCGUAGCCGGCUUUGUUAGUUUUCGGUUAAAUCCAUAUGCUCAACAUAUGGGCUGCCGGGAAUACUGCAAAGCUAGGGAGUGGGAGAGGUAGACGGUACUCCGUAGGAAGGGGUAAAAUCCUUUGAUCUAUGGAUGACCACCUGUGGCGAAGGCGGUCUACCAGAACACGUUCGACGGUGAGGGAUGAAAGCUGGGGGAGCAAACCGGAUUAGAUACCGGGUAGUCCCAGCUGUAAACUAUGCAAACUCAGUGAUGCAUUGGCUUGUGGCCAGUGCAGUGCCGCAGGGAAGCCGUUAAGUUUGCCGCCUGGGAAGUACGUACGCAAGUAUGAAACUUAAAGGAAUUGGCGGGGGAGCACCACAAGGGGUGAAGCCUGCGGUUCAAUUGGAUUCAACGCCGGG
rnacentral:rRNA from 1 species